AUUGAACGCUGGCGGCAGGCCUAACACAUGCAAGUCGAGCGAGCGGCGGACGGGUGAGAAAUGUGUGGGAAACUGCCUGAUGUAGGGGGAUAACUACUGUAAACGGUAGCUAAUACCGCAUACCCUCUGAUGUGCCCCGAUGGGAUUAGCUAGUAGGUGGGGUAACGGCUCACCUAGGCGACGAUCCCUAGCUGGUCUGAGAGGAUGACCAGCCACACUGGAACGGAGACACGGUCCAGACUCCUACGGGAGGCAGCAGUGGGGAAUAUUGCACAAUGGGCGCAAGCCUGAGGCAGCCAUGCCGCGGGGGUGAAGAAGGCCUUCGGGUUGUAAAGCACUUUCAGCGGGGAGGCGUUACCCGCAGAAGAAGCACCGGCUAACUCCGUGCCAGCAGCCGCGGUAAUUC
rnacentral:rRNA from 1 species